UAGGACAGUAUGUUGAACUCAGCAGAAUCCC
rnacentral:piRNA from 1 species